rnacentral:rRNA from 1 species
UACGUAGGGUGCAAGCGUUGUCCGGAAUUAUUGGGCGUAAAGGGCUCGUAGGCGGUUUGUCGCGUCGGGAGUGAAAACCUCGGGCUUAACUCGGGGCUUGCUUUCGAUACGGGCAGACUAGAGGUAUGCAGGGGAGACUGGAAUUCCUGGUGUAGCGGUGAAAUGCGCAGAUAUCAGGAGGAACACCGGUGGCGAAGGCGGGUCUCUGGGCAACAACUGACGCUGAGGAGCGAAAGCGUGGGAGCGAACAGG